UACGUAGGGGGCAAGCGUUGUCCGGAUUUAUUGGGCGUAAAGAGCGUGUAGGCGGCUUUACAGGUCCGUUGUGAAAACUCGAGGCUCAACCUCGAGACGCCGGUGGAAACCGUAAGGCUAGAGUCCGGAAGAGGAAAGUGGAAUUCCUGGUGUAGCGGUGAAAUGCGCAGAUAUCAGGAAGAACACCCGUGGCGAAGGCGGCUUUCUGGGACGGUACUGACGCUGAGACGCGAAAGCGUGGGGAGCGAACAGG
rnacentral:rRNA from 1 species